rnacentral:rRNA from 1 species
UGGAAGUGAAAACCAUGGGCUCAACCCAUGAAUUGCUUUCAAAACUGUUUUUCUUGAGUAGUGCAGAGGUAGAUGGAAUUCCCGGUGUAGCGGUGGAAUGCGUAGAUAUCGGGAGGAACACCAGUGGCGAAGGCGGUCUACUGGGCACCAACUGACGCUGAGGCUCGAAAGCAUGGGUAGCAAACAGGAUUAGAUACCCUGGUAGUCCAUGCCGUAAACGAUGAUUACUAGGUGUUGGGGGAUUGACCCCCUCAGUGCCGCAGUUAACACAAUAAGUAAUCCACCUGGGGAGUACGACCGCAAGGUUGAAACUCAAAGGAAUUGACGGGGGCCCGCACAAGCAGUGGAGUAUGUGGUUUAAUUCGAAGCAACGCGAAGAACCUUACCAGGUCUUGACAUCCGAUGCAUAGCACAGAGAUGUGUGAAAUCCUUCGGGACAUCGAGACAGGUGGUGCAUGGUUGUCGUCAGCUCGUGUCGUGAGAUGUUGGGUUAAGUCCCGCAACGAGCGCAACCCUUAUUGCCAGUUACUACGUUAAGAGGACUCUGGCGAGAUUGCCGUUGACAAAACGGAGGAAGGUGGGGAUGACGUCAAAUCAUCAUGCCCUUUAUGACCUGGGCUACACACGUACUACAAUGGCGUUAAACAAAGAGAAGCAAGACCGCGAGGUGGAGCAAAACUCAAAAACAACGUCUCAGUUCAGAUUGCAGGCUGCAACUCGCCUGCAUGAAGUCGGAAUUGCUAGUAAUCGCGGAUCAGCAUGCCGCGGUGAAUACGUUCCCGGGCCUUGUACACACCGCCCGUCACACCAUGAGAGCCGGGGGGACCCGAAGUCGAUAGUCUAACCGCAAGGAGGACGUCGCCGAAGGUAAAACUGGUGAUUGGGGUGAAGUCGUCUCAAGGUAGCCGUAAGGGCGAAUUCGCGGCCGCUGAGUNCANUGCUGUUGGAAUGUGUGCGAAACUCCCCCNNCCCCUNUUUGUGUAA